rnacentral:tRNA from 1 species
AUGCUUAUAACUUAAUUGGUAGAGUAUUAGAUUGCGGAUCUAUAAAAUG